rnacentral:rRNA from 1 species
CCGCCCUACGGGAGGCAGCAGUGAGGAAUAUUGGUCAAUGGACGAGAGUCUGAACCAGCCAAGUAGCGUGAAGGAUGACUGCCCUAUGGGUUGUAAACUUCUUUUAUAAAGGAAUAAAACGAGGCACGUGUGCCUUUUUGCAUGUACUUUAUGAAUAAGGAUCGGCUAACUCCGUGCCAGCAGCCGCGGAAAUAAGGAGGAUCCGAGGGGUAUCCGGAUUUAUUGGGUUUAAAGGGAGCGAAGAUGGGUUGUUAAGUCGGUUGUGAAAGUUUGCGGCUCA